rnacentral:lncRNA from 1 species
CUAUAGAAUAGAAUAGAAUAGAAUAUUUUAUUUACCAAAUUAGGGCCCCAGGAGGGCAUAUGAUACAGACAAUAUUAUUAUAAACAAUAACAUAUGCAAUACACACACAGUAAAGAUAUGUAACAAGUGUUAUAAAAAUAAUAAAAUAAAAUAAUAUAACACAGAAAAUACACUCAACGAAAUAGUAGCAAUGUAUUAUUAUUCAAUGAAUACUAUGUUGAAAAUGACUCAAGUGCACCCGGUAAGUGUAUCUUCACUUUGAGAAGACAAACAUGAGGCAUUAGUAGUUUGUGCGGAGAAAUGUCAAUAUAUAAAAAUACAAAAAAAAUACAAAAAGAACCCAAUAAAAAACAAAGCAAUUAAGCACUCCCACAUUUGACUAUGAGGUAUACUGCAAAUAACAAAGUUUAUUUAAUAAAGGAUAUUUAAUAUGACUUAUCUGCAGAAAGCACCAAGAGUCGGUGCUUAAAGGGGAGUCCCUACUUGUACUUAAUGCAGAUGAGUCAAGC